rnacentral:lncRNA from 1 species
AUGUACCAGGACAAAGUCUACACUCUGUUCAUCAGGCUCCUGAGAAUUCCUUCUGGGACACUCGAUCAGUUGGAGCAACCAUUGCAUAAAUUUGUAGAACUUGUGUCCAUUAACACCUCUUUGUCAAUUAUAAUUUGCUCUAAUUUUAUGUCAGAUUUUCUGAAGAUACCAUCCUAGCUUUCUGCCACGCAGAAGUAGUUGGAAGAUAAGUAUUUAAUUAAGUAUUUACAGAAUUUCUGCUAUGUAUUCAUCCCGCAUAUAACGAAAUACCUACCUUAAGAGAGCUCAAAGUUCAGUUGGGAAUACAGGCUAAAUACAUAAAACAUCAGCCCAUAAAUAAAAUUACAUGCUCAGUCAUCCUGGGAAUGAUAUAAGGAUAUAUUACAGAACAGUAUAAUGUAUUCCUAUGUCAUCACACCAGUGGCACAUAUAUUUGUUUUUCUUACCUACUGCCUUAUCUUCCCCACUAAAAUGGAAGCUCCAUGAGAGAAACUUCUUUUUAACAUUUUUGGCUCAUGUGGUUUCCUCAGUGCCUGGCAUGUAAUUGGUGCUUACUAAAUUUUGUUGACUGAAUGAAUAAGUCAAGUUCUUAGGAUAUUCAGAGAAACAAAGGAUUCAUGGAGUGCCCCCAGAGGAGCCUUAACUAUGCUUUUAUUUAGCUUGCUUUAUAGCAAUCGGUAGAUUUUAGCAAACAGUUUAUUUCUACAAUAAAUAAGAAAAUGUGUAUAUAACUGAAAUAGAAAAUGUGUAUAUAAUUGGAAUGAAAGGAAUUUAAAUUGGGUGUUAAGAGUCGAUGAGACCCUCUAAGCUUAUUGCUAGGUUUUCCUAGAAUCAGUUCUUUUCAAACAUUAUUUUAAAACAGAACAACUAUAUUUUCAAACAAAAUAUGAUAAAUGAAACAGAUAAAAGUAAAGCUGCUCUGGAGUUCCCACUAUGGCUCAGCGGCAAUGAAUGUGAC